GGUAUUUUGUAUACAUUUCUUCGCAUAAAAAUUUUAAAAUACAGGUGUUUAAAACAGAGAUCUUAAACAGGGCGUUUAAAACAGAGAUCUUAAACAGGAUGUUUAAAAUAGAGAUCUUAAACAGGAUGUUUAAAAUAGAGAUAUUAAACAGAAUGUUUAAAACAGAGAUCUUAAACAGGAUGUUUAAAACAGAGAUCUUAAACA